rnacentral:rRNA from 1 species
GUGUCAGCCGCCGCGGUAAUACGUAGGGGCCAAGCGUUGUCCGGAUUUAUUGGGCGUAAAGAGCUCGUAGGCGGUUCGAUAAGUCGACGGUGAAAUCUCCACGCUCAACGUGGAGGGGUCCGUCGGUACUGUCGUGACUCGAGUCCGGUAGGGGAGAAUGGAAUUCCCGGUGUAGCGGUGAAAUGCGCAGAGAUCGGGAGGAACACCCGUAGCGAAGGCGGUUCUCUGGGCCGGUACUGACGCUGAGGAGCGAAAGCGUGGGGAGCAAACAGGAUUAGAAACCCUAGUAGUCC